rnacentral:rRNA from 1 species
AUACGGAGGGGGCUAGCGUUGUUCGGAAUUACUGGGCGUAAAGCGUACGUAGGCGGACUGAUCAGUUGGGGGUGAAAUCCCAGGGCUUAACCCUGGAACUGCCUUCAAUACUGUCAGUCUUGAGUUUGGGAGAGGUGAGUGGAAUUCCUAGUGUAGAGGUGAAAUUCAUAGAUAUUAGGAGGAACACCAGUGGCGAAGGCGGCUCACUGGCCCAUUACUGACGCUGAGGUACGAAAGCGUGGGGAGCAAACAGAAUUAGAAACCCUAGUAGUCC